CGGCCGCUAAUGAGCAGUAAGCUGUGGAAACAUUUUGAAAAACCGCCUGAGUCCUUGGCUCAGCGAGAUGGCUCAGUGAGGAAAAGCAUUUGCCCCAAGAGCCUUGAUGCCCUGCAUCUGAGCCCUGAACUACAGGGAAAGGAGAAAACUGACUCCCAAAGCUGCCCUCUGAUCUCCGAGUGUGUGCACACAGACACGAGACACUACCUGUGGCUCUCAAAGAGGCUGGCACUGCCCUGCUGCUGGUUUAGGCUGUCAUCACAAACAAGGGCCACUGUCAGCACCGAGUGGAGCAUCGGUGACAGUGAACUCCGUAAUGCAUUCCAGCUUCACAAUUUGCCUGAGAUCCCUGAAGAUAUUCCAAGACUGAAUAUCAUACUUCAUCCUGUGUAAGAGGAUAGGAACAUUUUAAUACCUCACUUCCUAAUGUCACCUAGUUUAUUUAUGAGGCUAUUUCUUCCAUUUUUACACUUUGACGGUCUUUAGUUCAUCUUGGAAUAUUAUUUUUACUUCAAUUAAGAUUGUAUGCCUGCUGGGCAUGGUGGCGCACGCCU
rnacentral:lncRNA from 1 species